rnacentral:rRNA from 1 species
CCUACGGGGGACAGCAGUCGAGAAUCAUUCACAAUGGGGGAAACCCUGAUGGUGCGACGCCGCGUGGGGGAAUUAAGGUCUUCGGAUUGUAAACCCCUGUCAUGUGGGAGCAAAUUAAAAAGAUAGUACCACAAGAGGAAGAGACGGCUAACUCUGUGCCAGCAGCCGCGGUAAUACAGAGGUCUCAAGCGUUGUUCGGAAUCACUGGGCGUAAGGCGUGCGUAGGCUGUUUCGUAAGUCGUGUGUGAAAGGCGCGGGCUCAACCCGCGGACGGCACAUGAUACUGCGAGACUAGAGUAAUGGAGGGGGAACCGGAAUUCUCGGUGUAGCAGUGAAAUGCGUAGAUAUCGAGAGGAACACUCGUGGCGAAGGCGGGUUCCUGGACAUUAACUGACGCUGAGGCACGAAGGCCAGGGGAGCGAAAGGGAUUAGAUACCCUAGUAGUC